AGUGAACGCUGGCGGUAUGCCUAACACAUGCAAGUCGAACGGCAGCACAGUAAGCGCUUUCUCUUACGGGUGGGGAGUGGCGGGCGGGUGAGGAGUACGUCGGAAUCUACUUUUUCGUGGGGGGUAACGUAGGGAAAAUUACGCUGAUACCGCAUACGACCUACGGGUGAAAGCUUGGGAUCUUCGGACCUUGCGCGAUUCAAUGACCCGUUGUCGGAUUAGCUAGUUGGCGGGGUAAAGGCCCACCAAGGCGACGAUCCGUAGCUGGUCUGAGAGGAUGAUCAGCCACACUGGAACUGAGACACGGUCCAGACUCCUACGGGAGGCAGCAGUGGGGAAUAUUGGACAAUGGGCGCAAGCCUGAUCCAGCCAUACCGCGUGUGUGAUGAAGGCCUUCGGGUUGUAAAGCCCUUUUGUUGGGAAAGAAAAGCAGCAGGCUAAUACCACGCUUUGCUGACGGUACCCAAAGAAUAAGCACCGGCUAACUUCGUG
rnacentral:rRNA from 1 species